rnacentral:lncRNA from 1 species
UUUUGAUUUCCUAAUUUCAUGUCACUUUCCGAAAUUCGAAUUUGAUUUUCCAAAAUUUCAUUACAUACAUUAUUUGCAGAUAGAAAACCUUUUUGAAUGUCAACAAUAGAUGGAACGGAAGCCAAAAUCCGAGAAUUUCUAAUGGGAAGAAAAAUGAGGAUUGGUGUUUGAUCAAGUUUUUCAUCUGGGUAGGAGAAUGGAUUUAUUAACAUGUUUGGAUAUGAUUCGAUUGGUGGUUACAUUGAUUGACUUUCCAUAUGAGUCCCACGGUUUUUGGGAAGCUGAUUGCUUAAAAUCAUAAUUCAAAUUUUGAAUUUGAUGUGAUUGGGGAAGUUGAUUGUAUUAACCAUAUGUUGAUGCCAAUAAUGAGGUAACUUAUUAAACUCAUAAUUUAUGUGAUUUGAAAAUUGUGAGAGGCUUAGGUAACUAAUUUGAAUGCAUAUAUUUUUGUGAACAUGGGAGCCCUAAUCUUAUUUCCCCUAUGUAACGGGGCAAUUGAGCGGACGCUUCUUUGACAAUGAACCUCUACUGAAGACAUUUUUUUGUGAUAAUCAAAUUAUCCAUAGAGAUCUAAAACCACAGGUGCGAUAUAUAUUGUAGAAAUGGAGCACAUGUUGUACGCAACUCUGUUAUUCACACAUUUAUUUGGAGUUAUUGCACGGGAUCCGAAAGUUUUUAAAAAACCCAUUUAUCAAAAUUCAUAUCCUUUAUAUAACCCUAAUUUUAUGAAAUCCUGAUUCGUUCCUUUUAUUUGUUGAUCCUUCUUCUCUACACCAUCGUAUCACAAACCCUAACCUCCAUCAAUUUUCCCUCAAAACCCUGGCCACACAUACUCUUCUUCUUUUUCAGCAAAUCAACGAUGACAUCAAGGUACCGAUUUUACAUCAAGGUGCCAAAACAUAUUAAUGAAUGAUUGUGAAUUUCGACUUUAUUUCACUAAGGGAAAUCGAUGAUGAUUUCAACUCCAUUUCAUCAAUUUGUAGUCGUUUUUCCAAUGACUAUUAGUUUUUGGAAGCAACAUACUCUUAAUCAAUGUAGGAGAAUGGAUUUGUUAACAGAUUUGGAUAUGAUCCGAUUGGUGGUUACAUUGAUUGACAUUCCAUAUGAGUCCCACGGUUUUUGGGAAGCUGGUUGCUUAAAAUCAUAAUUCAAAUUUUGAAUUUGAUGUGAUUGGGGAAGCCGAUUGUAUUAGCCAUGUGUUGUUGCCAAUAAUGAGGGGAGCCCUAAUCAAUGCAAAAAAUCAUCUUAUUUCCCCUAU